rfam:Triticum aestivum genome assembly, contig: Triticum_aestivum_CS42_TGACv1_scaffold_113722_2AS
AAAAUACUCCCUCCGAUCCAUAUUACGUGUCUUAGAUUUGUCUAAAUAUGGAUGUAUCUAACACUAAAACAUGUCACAUUCGUAUCUAGACAAAUCUAAGACAAGUAAUAUAAAUCGGAGGGAGUACAAG